GGCUCUGAGAAGAUGAAUACCCGGUCACCAAGGAUAGAGCCCAGGUUGAUUGGGUGGAAGGGACAUCAGAAUUCUGUCUCUCUCUGUCUCUCUGUCUCUCUGUCUCUCUGUCUCUCUGUCUCUCUCUCUCUCUCUCACACACACACACACACACACACACACACACACUCUGUAUGUGAGUGUGUGUGCUUCAUUUACUCGAUUCUUCAUGUUCUGGUCUGCUCCACAUACACUUGUCAUGUGCCCAUCACAGUCCAGGCACUUGAGCUGACAGUUGCUAAGAAAAAAGGCUACUCAAGAACAGGAGGCAAAGCAAAGGACCCUGCAUUCUAUGGCUUGGUCCUUUGAUUCCUGCCAGUAUUUUCUAAAGAAGGAGCUUUUCAUGGUGGCUAGGUAGACAUUUAAGUCAGGGUAGAGUUGAAUGGCUAUUUCUAUUCUCAUGAAUCUGCAGAUAACCCCAUAGGUAACACCCAGGAAGGGUCCUUGUGCUUCUUUCUGAGUUUCCAUUCCGAGUUUCUGUUUCCAUGGCUACACCUUUCUAUGACAUAGCUUGUCAGUGAGUGGGAGUGGUUGGUGUCAAUUUGUGUAUUGUAUAUAGUUUGUAAUGAAGGCAGUUGUCCACCAGACUGAGGACACAGCUGGUAGGUUAUAACAUAGCAUAGCACAAACAAGGAGAAGUAAGAUGCAGGGCCAAGAAGAACAAAGACCAAAGUGGAGAAGUGUAGAUGUGCAGAAAUGACACUGUGUAGGAACUUUGUAAGGAAGGAAGGGAUGUAAGUAUGUAAAUCCAAAAGGGUCUGUGGCAGGCUGGGAUGCAUAGGGUCCAUCAAAGUCAAGUGGGAUGCAAUUGUUAUAGAGAAUGGUGGGUGGUGGUGCAUAUCAGGAUGAUGGGACAGGGGUGAUGUGCUUAUGAGGUUCUGGGGCUAGUGGAGAUGUGGUGUGAUCCAAAUUUCAAUGGGGUGUGUGUGUCAAGCUCAUGAAUCUUUUAAGAAGUAGAAGUAGGGCUAUGGUUUAGGUGGUGACUGGUGAUUCAGGCAAGAAAAGAGGAGGCAGCAUAUCAGGCCAAGCAGCUUGAAUUUGGAUACAUAUAUUGGCUUUGGAGCCAAGAGGAGUUACUGAAAGAUUAAGUGGAGGGGAUGAGAGAGAAACGGAGCUGAGUUUCAGCAGCUUUGAAAGAGCAUGGCCUCUGUUAUGGUGCAUGGAGGUUGUGAGGAGAAGUAGAGGAAUUUGCUUCAAUCCAUACGGCAUCCGAUGAGCACACCAGUCCCUGAGUGUUGGUACCAGCUGCAGUACAAUAGGGGUCCUUGGGGUAUGCUCACAGCACUGGAGACCAGGACUGGAGGAAGCCGAUCCCCGAGAGAGCCAGUGUAGACAAGGCGAGGACAAGGGUAAAGUCAUUUCACACAGUGUGCAAAUGAGAAGGAACAGCACUGGGAGACAGGGUCAUGAAAGAACAGAAGGGCUGGGAAUGUAGCUUAAUUGCUAGAGUGCUUACCUAGCAUGAAUCCUGGGUCUGAUUCCCAGUACCAAGUGUCCUGGGGAUGGUGGUGCACAUCUAUAAUCCCAGC
rnacentral:lncRNA from 1 species